rnacentral:lncRNA from 1 species
UUAGUUCCAACCAGAGGAGGACUCCUCUAAGAAAAGUGGAGAUGGAGUGUCACCACGAGGCUUUCCCUAAUGAAAAAACAAAACUGAGUUCUUCAAGCUGAAGGGAGGAGAUGCUAGUUCCUCACAGCAAAGCACACGAGAGCAUGAAACCUAAAGUUAAGUUGUCAGGUCCAAAGCACUGAUGUGAAACAAUGAACGACGACAAAACAGGAAACAUGCAGAAGGACAGUGGUUCCCAUAACUAGCGUCGAGAGAGCUGGGUCCUCAAAUGCAGAGGAGUGGAGAUGACCCUUAUCUCUGCUUCAGUGACUAUAGACAGGGAAGAGUGAUAAAGACAUCCAGUAUCAACCUCAAGUAUACUCAUGUGCUUAUGCACACACACACGGAACCUACACACAUAUAUACAAAGCACACACACAGUCACACACAUAUACACACACAGCACACACCUGCAUACUUAUAUAAAGCAUAUACAGUCACACAUACAGCACACACUUGCACCUACACACACAUAUACAAAGCAUAUACAAUCACACACACAUGCACAUACACACACACUUGCAGCUGCACACACAAAGCAUGCAGUCAUUCACACACAUAGCACACACUUGUACCUGCACACAUAUACAAAGCACAUAUACAUAGCGACACACAUACACACUCACACAUGCUGCACACAUACAAAGCAUAUACAGUCACACACAUAUGCACAUACACACACACAAUUGCACCUGCACACACACACAAUUGCACCUGCACACACACAUACAAAACAUACAUACAGUCACACACAUAGCACACACUUGCACCUGCACACAUACACAGUCACACAUACAUACACACACACACAUGCUGCACAUAUACAGAGCAUAUACAGUCACACACACAUACAGAGUGAAAACAGAAAUUCAAAUCACAAUGAGGUAUUUCCUAAUACUUGUUAGUCUGGCUAUAGCUACUGUUAUGGAAAAGAUGAAAACACCCACCAAGGUGGCUCAUGCCCC